GGCUUAUGUUGCUUCACCAUGGAUAAGUCCCACCACUUCGAUCACAAAAAACCUGUUUCUUCUUUCCAGGCAUAAUCAAUCAUUGACUGGGGCUGAAAAGACUGAAACACUAGACUGCAGUAAACUAAGAAUUCAGGACCCUGUUUCACAGAAUGAGUCUCAGCUGAUUGCCCUCACAUUGUCUGACUAAUGUCAUGCCCGUAACAGAAAGCAGGUGAACCCCUUAGCUGCAAUGGGACUUAGAUACCAAGUUGGAAAACAUCCUUCAUGAGCAUAUGUUCUCUGACAAGCAUGCUACAGCUCUAGAGACACUUUGUGCACAAUGUGCCACAGUGAGACCCAUCUUCAAAAGGUACUCUGAGGCAUGUUCUGGGGGAGGGAGGGAUGAAAUAAAGAUGUCUGGCUUGGUGAUUUAAA